UACGUAGGGUGCAAGCGUUGUCCGGAAUUAUUGGGCGUAAAGAGCUCGUAGGCGGUUUGUCGCGUCUGCUGUGAAAACCCGAGGCUCAACCUCGGGCCUGCAGUGGGUACGGGCAGACUAGAGUGCGGUAGGGGAGAUUGGAAUUCCUGGUGUAGCGGUGAAAUGCGCAGAUAUCAUGAAGAACACCCGUGGCGAAGGCGGCUCUCUGGGACGGUACUGACGCUGAGACGCGAAAGCGUGGGGAGCGAACAGG
rnacentral:rRNA from 1 species